UACGUAGGGUCCGAGCGUUUGUCCGGAAUUAUUGGGCGUAAAGGGCUCGUAGGCGGUUUGUCGCGUCGGGAGUGAAAACCUACAGCUUAACUGUGGGCUUGCUUUCGAUACGGGCAGACUUGAGGCAUGCAGGGGGAGAACGGAAUUCCUGGUGUAGCGGUGAAAUGCGCAGAUAUCAGGAGGAACACCGGUGGCGAAGGCGGUUCUCUGGGCAUGUUCUGACGCUGAGGAGCGAAAGUGUGGGGAGCGAACAGG
rnacentral:rRNA from 1 species